GAUGAACGCUGGCGGCGUGCCUAAUACAUGCAAGUCGAACGAAACUUCUUUAUCACCGAGUGCUUGCACUCACCGAUAAAGAGUUGAGUGGCGAACGGGUGAGUAACACGUGGGCAACCUGCCCAAAAGAGGGGGAUAACACUUGGAAACAGGUGCUAAUACCGCAUAACCAUAGUUACCGCAUGGUAACUAUGUAAAAGGUGGCUAUACUACCGCUUUUGGAUGGGCCCGCGGCGCAUUAGCUAGUUGGUAGGGUAAAGGCUUACCAAGGCAAUGAUGCGUAGCCGAAUUGAGAGGGUGAUCGGCCACAUUGGGACUGAGACACGGCCCAAACUCCUACGGGAGGCAGCAGUAGGGAAUCUUCCACAAUGGGCGAAAGCCUGAUGGAGCAACGUCGCGUGGGUGAAGAAGGUCUUCGGAUCGUAAAACCCUGUUGUUAGAGAAGAAAGUGCGUGAGAGUAACUGUUCACGUUUCGACGGUAUCUAACCAGAAAGCCACUGCUAACUACGUG
rnacentral:rRNA from 1 species